CACGCAGUAAACGAUGAUUACUCGCUGUUUGCGAUACACAGUAAGCGGCUUAGCGAAAGCGUUAAGUAAUCCACCUGGGGAGUACGUUCGCAAGAAUGAAACUCAAAGGAAUUGACGGGGGCCCGCACAAGCAGUGGAGUAUGUGGUUUAAUUCGAAGCAACGCGAAGAACCUUACCAGGGCUUGACAUCCUCGGACGACACUAGAGAUAGUGUUUUCUCUUCGGAGACUGAGAGACAGGUGG
rnacentral:rRNA from 1 species